CAACCCAGACCGCCAGCUAAGGUCCCAAAGUCAUGGUUAAGUGGGAAACGAUGUGGGAAGGCCCAGACAGCCAGGAUGUUGGCUUAGAAGCAGCCAUCAUUUAAAGAAAGCGUAAUAGCUCACUGGUCGAGUCGGCCUGCGCGGAAGAUGUAACGGGGCUAAACCAUGCACCGAAGCUGCGGCAGCGACACUAUGUGUUGUUGGGUAGGGGAGCGUUCUGUAAGCCUGUGAAGGUGGCCUGUGAGGGUUGCUGGAGGUAUCAGAAGUGCGAAUGCUGACAUAAGUAACGAUAAAGCGGGUGAAAAGCCCGCUCGCCGGAAGACCAAGGGUUUCUGUCCAACGUUAAUCGGGGCAGGGUGAGUCGACCCCUAAGGCGAGGCCGAAAGGCGUAGUCGAUGGGAAACAGGUUAAUAUUCCUGUACUUGGUGUUACUGCGAAGGGGGGACGGAGAAGGCUAUGUUGGCCGGGCGACGGUUGUCCCGGUUUAAGCGUGUAGGCUGGUUUUCCAGGCAAAUCCGGAAAAUCAAGGCUGAGGCGUGAUGACGAGGCACUACG
rnacentral:rRNA from 1 species